rnacentral:rRNA from 1 species
GACAAACGCUGGCGGCGUGCAUAAAACAUGCAAGUCGAACGGACUCCAGUCCGCAAGGACUGGAGUGAGUGGCGAACGGCUGAGUAACACGUAGGUGACCUGCCCCGAAGUUUGGGAUAACACCUCGAAAGAGGUGCUAAUACCGGAUGUGACCACCGAUUCAUUUCGGUGCUUAAAGUCGUAAGACGCUUUGGGAGGGGCCUGCGGCGGAUUAGCUAGUUGGUGUGGUAACGGCACACCAAGGCUUCGAUCCGUAGCUGGUCUGAGAGGAUGGCCAGCCAGACUGGGACUGAGACACGGCCCAGACUCCUACGGGAGGCAGCAGUUAGGAAUUUUGCGCAAUGGAGGAAACUCUGACGCAGCCACGCCGCGUGAGGGAUGAA